GACGAACGCUGGCGGCGUGCCUAAUACAUGCAAGUAGAACGCACAGUUUAUACCGUAGCUUGCUACACCAUAGACUGUGAGUUGCGAACGGGUGAGUAACGCGUAGGUAACCUGCCUGGUAGCGGGGGAUAACUAUUGGAAACGAUAGCUAAUACCGCAUCAUAUUGAUUAUUGCAUGAUAAUUGAUUGAAAGAUGCUAUUGCAUCACUACCAGAUGGACCUGCGUUGUAUUAGCUAGUAGGUGAGGUAACGGCUCACCUAGGCGACGAUACAUAGCCGACCUGAGAGGGUGAUCGGCCACACUGGGACUGAGACACGGCCCAGACUCCUACGGGAGGCAGCAGUAGGGAAUCUUCGGCAAUGGACGAAAGUCUGACCGAGCAACGCCGCGUGAGGGAAGAAGGUUUUCGGAUCGUAAAGCUCUGUUGUAAGAGAAGAACGGGUGUGAGAGUGGAAAGUUCACACUGUGACGGUAUCUUACCAGAAAGGGACGGCUAACUACGUG
rnacentral:rRNA from 1 species